UUGACCAAAUGAUGUUUUGUAUUUUGGUGUUUUACAGUCUCUGUUGGCUACUCCUCUGGUUGUAGCUCCUGUGUUGCUGGCUUUUAUAAUCAAUCUGCUCACCAGCUCUAGGACAUAUAUUGUAUAUGAAGCCGGCAGGCUGGAGCACUCAUGUAAAUAACACACACACGCACACGCACACGCACACAUUAAACAUAUAUAUAAAUACACACACACCAUAGACACACACAUAUAUACAAUUACAACAACCCAGGAUUCUGUAGUUAUAAAAUAUAGACCUAAAUUUACUUUUUAAUAAUGUAAAAUUGUUUAUUUAGACAUAUAUGUGUUUAUGAUCCAUGAAAACUUAAUGUGUUAAAAGAAAUGACCACUAGAUGGCAGAGUGGUUGUCUGACUGGAAAAAGGAUUCAAACCCGGGAGACGGCAGGAAAAGAUGGCGCAGCGUCCUGGCGAUCUUUCCUCUGAACUCAUCCACACAUGGUCCGCCGUCUCCACCUCCUACACCGUGACACUCCAUCGAUCGUAAUGGGCAAUGUGAGAUCACUGGCCAACAAGAUGGAGGAACUCCAAGCCCUUUCAAGGACUCAGCCAGAGUUUCGGCAGUUUCAGAACCGCUGGAGGAGAUAAUGCAAAGAAGGAUUCUCCAGAGAAUCAAGAAAAUUAUGGACAACCCUGAGCAUUCUCUUCACAAGACUGUCCGACAACGGAAGAGUGUCUUCAGUCAGAGGCUUCUUCAGUUUCGCUGCAACACUGACCGCUACUGGAGAUCCUUCCUGCCAACAGCCAUUGUAAUAUACAAUAACUCUUUGAUGACUUGAUUAUUAUUAUUAUUCUGAGCUACUACAGCAAUCAAUUUCCCUCUGGGAUUAAUAAAGCAUUUUUGUAUUUGAAUUGAAUUGAAUAUAUUAGUGCUGUGAUAAAUAACAUGUUAUUUUAGUUAAUUAAUGUGAAACGUUAUAUUAUGGGGAGAAAAUUUUUUCAAAAGAUUUGUGCAUGUGUGUCUAAAUUUGUGUGUGUGUGUGUCUAGAUUUAUGUGUAUCUAAAUGUGUGCGUCUAGAUUUGUGUAUGUGUAACUCUUGAUUUGUAACUUGUGUUUAAAUUUUCGUGUGUAACUUCAGCUCCUAAACAUACAAAUCAUUGAAUACACACACACACAAAUCAAGACAAAACUACAUCACACACAGAUCAGUUUACACUUACAACAAUCCUUUUGAGACUUUUCUGAAUUUUCUUAGGAUUCUGUAGUUAUAAAAGAUAGACCUAAAUUUUCUUUUUAAUAAUCUAAAAUUGUUCAUUUAGACAUAUAUGUGUUUCUGAUCCACGAAAACUUAGUCAAAGUGUUAUAAGAAAUGACCACUAGAUGGCAGAGUGGUUGUCUGACUGGAAAAAGCAGGAUUCAAACCCGGGAGACGGCAGGCGAAGAUGGCGGGGCGUCCUGGCGAUCUUUCCUCUAAACCUGCACGCUUUGCACUCCGGUUAUAAUGAGACAGAUAUUAUUCUUGACCAUUUCAAACGUUUUAUAGGUCUGACAGCCAGAUUCAUACACUGUCCUUAUUUCUGUGUUAGCAGGCGCUAACGUCUGUGUGAGCUAAGCUAGGUUAGCUAUUUCAAGCUGCUGUGAACAUAGAUAUGAAACUAGAAUAGUAUUUGUGCGCUGUAAGAUGAACAGAAUUAUUCAGUUGUACUGCCAGACUUGCAUUUGAAUUUGUUCAGGUGACAUCAAGGGCAUAAAAGCUGCUUAGCAUAGCGUUGUUUUGCAAGGUUAGCUUACAGCCUGUUUAAAAUCCAUCUAUUAAAAAUGGGUUUCAAUCAUUUAGCAGCUUAGUUACACAACUGUAUUAACAUGCUUUCCAAAGUGAGGUUGCUGUGGUUUUGAAUGUGUCAUAAACCAUGCUGAAAGACAGAAAAUUCACUUUACAAGUCCGACCACAACUCCCAGAAUGCACCGGACAGGGAAGCGCCACUUUAUGUGUGUGCGCAAUAACAGUGGGACAGUUUACAUGCGAGGAGAUGUAUUUAACUCACAAAAUAAAAUCACAAGAUUGAUAAACAAG